AUAAUGAUCACACUUGAAUAGAGAGGAAGAAAAAAAGAAAGAGCCCAGGGUGAAAUCCUCAAUGACUCUCGAAGAGGUCUGCAGAUGACUGUGCAAAGAAAGGGGUCUCAGGAAAGACUGGUUGGUGUGAGCCUUAUAGAAAGAGUGGUUUCCCCCUGAGAGUGAAAACGCAAUGGCCAAGCCUCCUCUAGGUCCUGGGUCUCAGAGGAAUAGUGAUAAUUAACAACUCCUGCAUGGCUGUAGUUUCAAGGAGGAGAAGCAGUGAUUGUAACCUCUCCUUCUUCCCCUGAAGGACCCUGGUAUCAAGCAACCCACAAAGCCUUACACUUGAGUCAGCCUGAAUGACAACAGCUGUGAAAAUUUCUUAUCAAAAUCAGUGCUUCUCAAAGAGUGACCUCUUCAACAAAUGAUGCUGGGACAACUGGGCAUCCACAUGCAAAAGAAUGAAGUUGGACCUCUACCUCAUACCAUAUACAAAAACCAACUCGAAACGGACCAAAGACCUAGAAGUAAGAGCUAAAACUAUGAAACUCCUAGAAGAAAGCUUAGGGAUAUAUCUUCAUGACCUUGGACUUGGCAAAGUAUUCUUAGAUAUUAGACAAAAAGCAUGAGCCACAAAAGAAAAAUAGAUAAAUUGGACUUCAAAAUUAAAAACUUUUGUGCAUCAAAGGACACCAUCAAGAAAGUGAAAAGACAACCCACAAAAAGGGACAAAAGAUUUGCACAUCAUAAAGGGUCUAGUAUCCAGCAUAUGUAAAGAACUUUUACAACUUGACAGCAAAAAGACAAACAACCCAAGAAGAAGUGGCAAUGGAUUUUAGUGAAUGGCUAACAGCCCCUGCCACAGAAGGCGAGUCAAGAACUUGUGCCUUAUGGAAUACUACUCAGCUGCAAAACAGAACAAAAUCAUUCCAUUUGCAAUAACAUGGAUGGACCUUGAGAGAAUUAUGUUAAGUGAAAUAAGCCAGCGAGAGAAAGAUAAUCUGUGUAUGACUCCACUCAUACGAGGAAUUUAAAAUUAUGGACUAAGAACAGUUUAGUGGAUACCAGGGGAAAGGUGGGGUGGGGGGU
rnacentral:lncRNA from 1 species